rnacentral:lncRNA from 1 species
AUUCACUUCAGGCAGUACGAAAUCUGAUAUUUUUCGCCGAAGCCCUCUGAAUAUCCUUUUGAGCUCAAAUUUGACAGUCAUGCUCGGUUUUGUAUAACUUAACGAAAAAAAUUUUAAUCUUUCGGUUUCGACCUCGUUUGGUCACCGAAAGCUGAACCGAACUGUAAUCUUUAUCAGAUAACUGUCGGAUUUAUUUUUCACCUUCCGGAUGUUAGAAUGACAUGAAACUUUAAAUCUAGCCUCAUAAAAAUAAUUCUGACAUACUCCCAAAUUUUCGGAAUUUUCUGAUACUGUGCAUUUUCUGCUAAAAUAACAGCCCUGAUUCACACAGAAAAUUCAAAAUCUUUUGUUCUCGCUCCGAUUUCCGCACGAGCUGUUCCCGACUUAUAUUUUACUUCUAUAAGUCCAAUAAAAAUAGUAUCUCACACUAUUUUUAUUUAUUUUUAUCCUUAUUUAAAAUCUGAUAUGCUACAUCAUCAAUCCGCUUCGAUCCUUCAAGACUCCGACUCACUUUACGAAACUUGCCAAUACAAAGUUCUUAACAAUCUCCCCCUUUGGCAAUUUUGUGAAAAAACUCACAAAACUCAAAAAUACAUAAAAGAAAACCGAAGUUCAAUGUCAUCACCAAAACAAUAAACUCCUCGCGUGUAAUCCAAAUACAAUUGAGAUUCAAAAUUACAUCAAAAACUUCUAAAACAGACUCUAUGACUUAGACGCAACUAGGAGUCUUGAAGUCUUGAAUUCCUGCAAAACAUUUCAUUCAACAAUGAUUAACCUUAGAUUCUUAUACCUUCUCCCCCUUUGUUCACAUCCCGAUCACAUCUCCCCCUUUGUUCUUGAACUCAUCAUUCUUUGCUUUAGUUCAAUGCCUGUUCAUCCAUGCUCUCCCCCUGUGUUCAUCCAUGCUCUCCCCCUGUUCAUCUGCACUCUCCCCCUUUUUGUCAAAAAUUGCCAAAAGAAAGCAAAUAGAGAAAGAGAAAAC